GCUCACUUUGGUGGCGCAUGGACUAAAAUUGGAAUAAUGCAGAGAAGAUUAGCAAGGCCCUGCUCAAGGAUGACAUGCAGGACUGUGGAGUGCUAACGUAUCGA
ensembl:snRNA U6 U6 spliceosomal RNA